rfam:Salmo salar isolate Sally breed double haploid chromosome ssa04, whole genome shotgun sequence.
AAUGCACCAAUUUGUAAGUCGCUCUGGAUAAGAGCGUCUGCUAAAUGACAAAAA